AGUGAACGCUGGCGGUAGGCCUAACACAUGCAAGUCGAACGGCAGCACAGUAAGAUCUUGCUCUUACGGGUGGCGAGUGGCGGACGGGUGAGGAAUACAUCGUAAUCUACUUUUUCGUGGGGGAUAACGUAGGGAAACUUACGCUAAUACCGCAUACGACCUACGGGUGAAAGCAGGUGAUCUUCGUACCUUUCGCGAUUGAAUGAGCCGAUGUCGGAUUAGCUAGUUGGCGGGGUAAAGGCCCACCAAGGCGACGAUCCGUAGCUGGUCUGAGAGGAUGAUCAGCCACACUGGAACUGAGACACGGUCCAGACUCCUCCGGGAGGCAGCAGUGGGGAAUAUUGGACAAUGGGCGCAAGCCUGAUCCAGCAAUACCGCGUGGGUGAAGAAGGCCUUCGGGUUGUAAAGCCCUUUUGUUGGGAAAGAAAAGCAGCAGGUUAAUACCCCGCUGUUCUGACGGUACCCAAAGAAUAAGCACCGGCUAACUUCGUG
rnacentral:rRNA from 1 species